UCAUGAAUGAAGUCUGUGCUGCUCCUCCUGAAGAAACAGAAGAUUAAUCUGGUUUAGUGUUAAAAGUCUCUCUCUCUCUCAGUGGAGAUCACUACCAGUGACAUGUCUAAACAAAUUCUUGAGUUUAGGGGUUUAAAAACCAAAUCCUCCAUUUAGAAAAUGAAGCUAAACAAUAUUAAAGAGUAAAGGAUGGCUGCACCUGACUUGCUGCUGCUAAUUCUACUGUCCUUUAGUCACAUUAUCUGAGCUCACCAGCGCCCUCUGCCUUGUGGCAUGUGUACUGCAGUGUGGCAGACGGACUGUUUUUAAAGCGCAUUUUUAGCAGAUAAAACGACUAAAUGAGUCACAAACUGGCAGUAAUGUAAUCAGACAGAUGGCGAGAGAUACGUAAAUUAUGUUUUUUUUUAAAUAAAGUGUAUUUGGUGAUGAUAGAAAGACCAAAACAACACAGCGCAUGCAUCAGCUGCAACUACAGUUAGUGUGGCGCUAGUAGUGAGGCUGGGACUACAGCGGCCUCACCCAGGACUGUUUGGCAGAUUUGAACUGGAAACUCGUAAAUUUUCUGCUUUUCUACAAAAAAAAAAGGAAAAAAAGAAAGAAGACCGACACAGAAAAAGGAUUGACCCAGGUGUUGCCUGACCCGGACAGAGAUGAGGAACAAUGCGAGACAGAAAGAUGCAACAUCUGAGUGGUAUUUUAUUGCAGCUCAAAGCCGGACUUUCAGAAUCAGAUGGAUGCUGGCUUUAUGAACAUCCAGAUGAUUUGAAACAGAAGAUGAACUGUCAUGUUUCCACACAGCCCAGGUGUCUGAGCCAGCUACACUUUUAUGUCCUCCGGUGGUCAAAUGAUGAAUUACACCCAGAAGUCAAUCUAUGGCAGCCAACCGAAUGAGCAUUCAUACAAAUAUGAAAGCUAAUAAAACAAAUUCUAAAAAUCC